UUGAGCCAAUGCUGGUUCUUUUCAUGUCUUGUUUUUCAAAUUUAAGGAAUUUCUUUUUCUUUUCAGCUAUGUACAGCUUACAGCAAUUUGAUAAAGUAUUCUUUUGUACAUAAAAAUGGAAACAUUUGCUUUUCUUCCCUACUUGAUCUCUCCAAAAUUCAGAAACUAUUAUUUUCUCUAAUAUCUGGGUACAACUCUUCAACAAAGAAUGAGAACUGCUCUGUUCCUGAAACCCUAUAGCCAAAGUUUGACAAUUCAAUAUACAUUCCAAGGGACAAGUCUCAUGCCUGAUGUUUGAGCCACACAGAUAGUUUGUGAGAAUGUCUGAUGCCACAACUGAAGAUAUUCAAACUGCAAAUUAGGAUAAGUCUCUGACUUCAUGCUGUGGAUAGCUUUUCACAAAACCAGAGGAAUAAGACUCCAUACCAUAGUGGUUCAAUUCAUCAAGACCCUGGCUUAGGAGCAUACUCCAAACUCUUGGUAAUAUCUUCCUAAUAGUCAUACAAAUAGUCUGCCUGGUGCAUUAUUUUUUCUUGAAAAGUUUUAACUUUUUGCACACAGCUAUCUGUCAAAUAUCAAAUGGUUUUCCUUCAGUGCAAAGAAAUGCAUUUUCAUGAGAACACUGUAACCUACCAAUGACAUGUUGAGACU